AUGGUCAUGAUGGCUUGCGUCACCUUAACCUCACAAGGUGAGCGCCUGCAUAGGAAUCUCUGCUCCUCGGGAGCCGGUCUAGGGAGGCCGCUCCCUCUGGAUGUCUUGGCGUCGUCUGCCUCGCGAGGCUUGGCCCCUCGCGAGGGUCUUGUGUUGUUGGUGCUGAAGGCGGGCUGUACCAAGCCGUUGAUGGAGCCAUGCCGUGGGCCGCAGGUAGGCAAGUCUGGGUACCCCGGUUCCCAGAACGCCGACAGUAGCCUCCGGGCCCAAGGCACUCUCGGACUUGGCUUCGAGGCGACGCCAAAAUGUAAGGGCGAAGCGCCGCAGGCCCCAAUCGCCUACGGACCGGGCCGACGCAUGGCCCUUUAUGGGACGUGGGCGCCUCCACUUCCCCACGCUGCCUCGACAAUCGUUCGACUUGACAACAGCCUGCUGCAUGCAAAAAUAUCAUCUUUACUGGGGAUCAUGGAGGCCGGCGGUUGGCCUCCCUCUGGCUAUAAAUGGAGGGGGUGGAGCCCCCUACUCAUCUCCGUCUUCCCGCUGCUUGCUCCUUCUUCUUCCUUCCUAUUUUGCGGUCUCGUCAAAGCACCCAUGGCACCGACAAGGAGGUUUUCCGCGGCGGAGAAGGGGAAGGCCCCCAAGGAGGGCCCAGGCUCGCCGUCGCCCAAGAGAGGCCUUGGCCGGCCCCGAAAGCAUGCGGCGAUGAUACGUCUCCAACGUAUCUAUAAUUUUUGA
rnacentral:rRNA from 1 species